ensembl:lncRNA
UUCACACUCGGGUAUCUGUCUCACGCUUUUACUUCCGUACUGGUUCCGCUGGAAUUCAGAUCCUUGCGGUAAACCACUGAGAAACCGGUCCUGGAAUGCUGCACCUGACUUUCUGUUUGGAUGUACUAUCUGUCCGGUCAAUCUCCCUGUGCCCUUACACACACACACACACACACACACACACACACACACACAGUGUUUAUCUGUACUCUCUUUUAGCAUCAUUGUUGCUCCGAGAAGAGAACCACUGAUUACUUCAAGCACACUACGGAGUACAGGAAAACCAGUGUAAACAACCUAUCUCCAUAUCCACCGUAUCCCAGCCCCGGUCUGACCUGCAGCCACCCAACCCUGUGCAGCAAGUCAUAACAGAUAGCCCUGCACCCAUGUAUAGACCUGAUACGGUUAUUAUACCACUCAGGCGACUCAGCCUGGGGUCCAAGUGGUCCACAGCGGCGGGACUCAGAUGGUAAUCCAGCCCCUAGGCAGACAAUGGUGGUCGGCGGGGCACACACACCAUAAUCCAGCCUGCUGCUCCACCUACUAUGAUUAUCCAGCGGGCAAAUCCGACUGUUCGAGUCGUCCAGCCGCAGGUUCUGCCUACAGUGAUCCAGCGACCUGCAGCCAAUACCGUGGUUUAUCGCCGUUAUUACUGAAGUCAUGCGAGUGAACCCUUCCAGGACGACACGGACGACGCUCCAGUGAAGACUCCAGCGGGAUUUUACGCCAUGUUGAAAAUUCCUCCCGUAUUCAUUAUCGAGUCCUUAAUCAGAUCGUAAAAUAAGCGCAGAGUUACGCUCGGACAUCAGCUCUCCUCGUCCACUCGGACUCCUCGUCCGUCCUCGCCGAGAUUCUUUUUCUUCUUCCCUUUUGUGUAUCCGUGGUGAUUAGAUUAGUAAAUCCUUAUGUUAUUGGUGUAUUACCACAAACCCUACAGCGCGGUACGAGCCAGGUGUGCACAAACGGUACUCGUGUAAUAAUGUAAUAAAGUAAUGAAGUCAUACGUUUUGAUGAAUAAGGGACAGCAACGAGUACGGCUGUAUAUCAGGUCAGGUAUGAGAUUAAGAUCAUCGCGAUGCGAUUCAUGGUUUCUGGGUAAGGUUUUCUCAUCGAGGUGUCAGCAGCCUUCCAAACGAGGCUUUUGGGGUUUUUUUUUCUUUUCUUUUCUUUAAUGGUAUGAAACGCUCCAGAGUGAGAACGUGCACACUGCAAAGGAGGUGCAUGAUUGUAAGGGGAGGGUGGGUGUGGCGGGGGGGGCAUCCAUUUCCACGGUGUUCAUUAAUCACCUAUCAAUAUAACAUCACAAUAAAAUCUGAUUAAAUCACACUUUCUCCUGUAUCAACACAAGCCUGUUCACUUACUGACUAAAGACGCUCAUAAACCACUUUGUCAAUGUCACACACGGCUUAAGAAAGUGUCAUAAAGUCUAUUAUAAUGCAGUCUAUUAGCACUUUAUAAAUAUGUUUCCUUUUAAAUAAUCAUAGCAGUGUGUCGAACACCUUACGAAUGCACUGUAAACGUGUUACGCAGGUACUUGUGGGUCAUGACAUCUUUGGCCUCUGUAGAAAGUGUUACAUGUGUAUUACAUGUGUAUUUUUUUUUGUUUUCCCAUCGUCUUAACCCUCGUGUUUUAUUUAGACGACGUUUUACUCGCCGUCGGGUGUCGCGGAGACCUCAGUCGCUCGUGUCUGACGUUAUAAUAAACGUUCUAUUGAAUCACGAAUCUUUUUGUUGUUGUUGUUGUUGUUGUUGUCGCUUUUUUCAAUCUAAAUCAUUCAAAUGCAUGUGAGAGGAAAGAGUGAAAUUUACACUCGGUUUGAUACGAAACAUCUUGAAGAAAAAAAGUGCUGAAGUGACCGUAAAGCACAGAUACUACACCGCGUAAGAGAUAUUUCAGGGCGUAAAUGGACUAGACAUGAGUUGUUUUGUUUUGAGCUUCUUUUAGUCUACAAGAAAAGGCACAAAGAUUAUAGACAUUAAUCAAAGAUUUCAUCAUGAUUGAAGAGUCUGGAGUUUCUGCUUGACAUACUCCAAAC